rnacentral:rRNA from 1 species
GAUGAACGCUGGCGGCGUGCCUAAUACAUGCAAGUCGAGCGAACGGACGAGAAGCUUGCUUUUCUGAUGUUAGCGGCGGACGGGUGAGUAACACGUGGAUAACCUACCUAUAAGACUGGGAUAACUUCGGGAAACCGGAGCUAAUACCGGAUAAUAUUUUGAACCGCAUGGUUCAAAAGUGAAAGACGGUCUUGCUGUCACUUAUAGAUGGAUCCGCGCUGCAUUAGCUAGUUGGUAAGGUAACGGCUUACCAAGGCAACGAUGCAUAGCCGACCGGAGAGGGAGAUCGGCCACACGGGAACUGAGACACGGCCCAGACUCCGACAGGAGGCAACAGUAGGGAAUCUUCCGCAAUGGGCGAAAGCCUGACGGAGCAACACCGCGUGAGUGAUGAAGGUCUUCGGAUCGUAGAACUCUGUUAUUAGGGAAGAACAUAUGUGUAAGUAACUGUGCACAUCUUGACGGUACCUAAUCAGAAAGCCACGGCUAACUACGUG